rnacentral:rRNA from 1 species
UACGUAGUGGGCUAGCGUUGUCCGGAAUCAUUGGGCGUAAAGCGCGUGUAGGCGGCCCGGUAAGUCCGCUGUGAAAGUCCAGGGCUCAACCCUGGGAUGCCGGUGGAUACUGUCGGGCUCGAGUCCGGAAGAGGCGAGUGGAAUUCCUGGUGUAGCGGUGAAAUGCGUAGAGAUCCGGAGGAACCCCAGAGGCGAAGGCGGCAGCCUGGUUGGCUCCUGACGCUCGGACACGACAGCAUGGGGAGCGAACGGG